UACGUAGGGUGCAAGCGUUAAUCGGAAUUACUGGGCGUAAAGCGUGCGCAGGCGGUGAUGUAAGACAGGUGUGAAAUCCCCGGGCUUAACCUGGGAACUGCAUUUGUGACUGCAUCGCUGGAGUGCGGCAGAGGGGGAUGGAAUUCCGCGUGUAGCAGUGAAAUGCGUAGAUAUGCGGAGGAACACCGAUGGCGAAGGCAAUCCCCUGGGCCUGCACUGACGCUCAUGCACGAAGCGUGGGGAGCAAACAGGA
rnacentral:rRNA from 1 species